AGAGUUUGAUCCUGGCUCAGGAUGAACGCUGGCGGCGUGCUUAACACAUGCAAGUCGAACGAAGACGUCUGAGUGCUUGCACUUGGAUGGACUGAGUGGCGGACGGGUGAGUAACGCGUGGGUAACCUGCCUUAUACAGGGGGAUAACAGUUGGAAACGACUGCUAAUACCGCAUAAGCGCACAGUAUCGCGUGAUACAGUGUGAAAAACUCCGGUGGUAUAAGAUGGACCCGCGUCUGAUUAGCUUGUUGGUGAGGUAACGGCCCACCAAGGCAACGAUCAGUAGCCGGCCUGAGAGGGUGAACGGCCACAUUGGGACUGAGACACGGCCCAAACUCCUACGGGAGGCAGCAGUGGGGAAUAUUGCACAAUGGGGGAAACCCUGAUGCAGCGACGCCGCGUGAGUGAGGAAGUAUUUCGGUAUGUAAAACUCUAUCAGCAGGGAAGAUAACGACGGUACCUGACUAAGAAGCACCGGCUAAAUACGUGCCAGCAGCCGCGGUAAUACGUAUGGUGCAAGCGUUAUCCGGAUUUACUGGGUGUAAAGGGUGCGUAGGUGGUAUGGCAAGUCAGAAGUGAAAGGCUGGGGCUCAACCCCCGGGACUGCUUUUGAAACUGUCAAACUAGAGUACAGGAGAGGAAAGCGGAAUUCCUAGUGUAGCGGUGAAAUGCGUAGAUAUUAGGAGGAACACCAGUGGCGAAGGCGGCUUUCUGGACUGAAACUGACACUGAGGCACGAAAGCGUGGGGGGCAAAUAGGAUUAGAUACCCUAGUAGUCCACGCCGUAAACGAUGAGAACUAGGUGUUGGGGGAAUAACUCAGUGCCGCAGUUAACGCAAUAAGUUCUCCGCCUGGGGAGUAUGCACGCAAGUGUGAAACUCAAAGGAAUUGACGGGGGCCCGCACAAGCGGUGGAGUAUGUGGUUUAAUUCGAAGCAACGCGAAGAACCUUACCAGGCCUUGACAUCCCUUGCAGAGGUAUAGAGAUAUAUCCGAGGUUACCAAGGAGACAGGUGGUGCAUGGUUGUCGUCAGCUCGUGUCGUGAGAUGUUGGGUUAAGUCCCGCAACGAGCGCAACCCUUGUGAUAUGUUACUAACAUUGAGUUGAGGACUCAUAUCAGACUGCCGGUGAUAAACCGGAGGAAGGUGGGGAUGACGUCAAAUCAUCAUGCCCCUUAUGGCCUGGGCUACACACGUACUACAAUGGCGUCUACAAAGAGCGGCAAGCCUGUGAAGGCAAGCGAAUCUCAUAAAGGACGUCUCAGUUCGGAUUGAAGUCUGCAACCCGACUUCAUGAAGCUGGAAUCGCUAGUAAUCGCGAAUCAGCAUGUCGCGGUGAAUACGUUCUCGGGCCUUGCACUCACCGCCCGUCA
rnacentral:rRNA from 1 species